GGAUGAUGACAGACAUUUUAUUUAUGACCUAUUGCAAAAGGACCCGUACAGACGUCUUCUAGAAGUAAAUAUAAGAGAACACGAGUAUUUUCAUAAAGUGUCUUGGCCGAAAAUUACUUAGGGUUUUCGGCAGAAUAAACUGAAAAUGAAGUUCGGAUCUUUCUUGAAAUCAAUGUGGAAGCCGGUUAAGAGAACCGUGCGUAAGUGGAGAAGAGGUGAGG